rnacentral:rRNA from 1 species
AGUGAACGCUGGCGGUAGGCCUAACACAUGCAAGUCGAACGGCAACACAGUAAGAGCUUGCUCUUACGGGUGGCGAGUGGCGGACGGGUGAGGAAUACAUCGGAAUCUACUUUUUCGUGGGGGUUAACGUAGGGAAACUUACGCUAAUACCGCAUACGACCUACGGGUGAAAGCAGGGGAUCUUCGGACCUUGCGCGACUGAAUGAGCCGAUGUCGGAUUAGCUAGUUGGCGGGGUAAAGGCCCACCAAGGCGACGAUCCGUAGCUGGUCUGAGAGGAUGAUCAGCCAGACUGGAACUGAGACAGGGUCCAGACUCCUACGGGAGGCAGCAGUGGGGAAUAUUGGACAAUGGGCGCAAGCCUGAUCCAGCCAUACCGCGUGGGUGAAGAAGGCCUUCGGGUUGUAAAGCCAUUUUGUUGGGAAAGAAAAGCAGCAGGUUAAUACCCCGCUGUUCUGACGGUACCCAAAGAAUAAGCACCGGCUAACUUCGUG